rnacentral:rRNA from 1 species
UACGUAGGGUGCAAGCGUUAAUCGGAAUUACUGGACGUAAAGCGUGCGCAGGCGGUGAUGUAAGACAGUUGUGAAAUCCCCGGGCUCAACCUGGGAACUGCAUCUGUGACUGCAUCGCUGGAGUGCGGCAGAGGGGGAUGGAAUUCCGCGUGUAGCAGUGAAAUGCGUAGAUAUGCGGAGGAACACCGAUGGCGAAGGCAAUCCCCUGGACCUGUACUGACGCUCAUGCACGAAAGGCGUGGGGAGCAAACAGG